rnacentral:rRNA from 1 species
GAUUAACGCUAGCGGAAGGCAUAAUACAUGCAAGAGCCUCGCGCGAUUGGAGCGGCCGAUAUCAGAUUAGGUAGUUGGUGGGGUAAAAGGCUCACCAAGCCAACGAUCUGUAGCUGGUCUGAGAGGACGACCAGCCACACUGGGACUGAGACACGGCCCAGACUCCUACGGGAGGCAGCAGUGGGGAAUUUUGGACAAUGGGCGAAAGCCUGAUCCAGCCAUGCCGCGUGAGUGAAGAAGGCCUUCGGGUUGUAAACUGCUUUUGUACGGAACGAAACGGUCUGCCCUAAUACGGUGGGCUAAUGACGGUACCGUAAGAAUAAGCACCGGCUAACUACGUG